rnacentral:rRNA from 1 species
UACGUAGGCAGCGAGCGUUGUUCGGAGUUACUGGGCGUAAAGGGUGUGUAGGCGGUUGUUUAAGUUUGGUGUGAAAUCUCCCGGCUCAACCGGGAGGGUGCGCCGAAUACUGAAUGACUAGAGUGCGGGAGAGGAAAGUGGAAUCCUGGUGUAGCGGUGAAAUGCGUAGAUAUCAGGAGGAACACCAAUGGCGAAGGCAGCUCGCUGGGACGGUACUGACGCUGAGGCGCGACAGCGUGGGGAGCAAACAGG